GUGGGGAAUAUUGGGCAAUGGGGGCAACCCUGACCCAGCGACGCCGCGUGGAGGAAGAAGUCCCUCGGGAUGUAAACUCCUGUUGUGUGGGAAGAAGCGAGUGACGGUACCACACGAGGAAGCCCCGGCAAACUACGUGCCAGCAGCCGCGGUAAUACGUAGGGGGCGAGCGUUGUCCGGAAUCACUGGGCGUAAAGGGCACGCAGGCGGACCGACAGGUCGUUUGUGAAAGGCGAGGGCUCAACCCUUGUUUGCGGACGAAACCGUCGGACUGGAGUACCGGAGAGGGAAGUGGAAUUCCCGGUGUAGCGGUGAAAUGAGUAGAUAUCGGGAGGAACACCAGUGGCGAAGGCGGCUUCCUGGCCGGAUACUGACGCACAAGUGCGAAAGCUGGGGGAGCGAACGGGAUUAGAUACCCGAGUAGUCC
rnacentral:rRNA from 1 species